rnacentral:lncRNA from 1 species
AUGACUUCUAUACCAGAAAGUAGGAAUAUAUACCAAGUAAAAUUCACGUAGCGAAAUGAGAGGGACGGAGUGAGUUCUGUAUAUUUAAGCUAGCACUAGAAUUCAAAAGAAAUGCUACAUUUAUGUCUCGACACAUCUAUAGAUAAAUAUUGUAUCACAAGGUGCUGUAUAAUCUAUCAAUUGACCAUGUCAAAAGAUGACAUGCACCACUAGAAGUGUGGAAAAGUCCACUGGAUCAUUCGACUG